rnacentral:rRNA from 1 species
UGGGGAAUAUUGCACAAUGGGCGCAAGCCUGAUGCAGCCAUGCCGCGUGUGUGAAGAAGGCCUUCGGGUUGUAAAGCACUUUCAGCGAGGAGGAAGGUGGUGGACUUAAUACGUUCAUCAAUUGACGUUACUCGCAGAAGAAGCACCGGCUAACUCCGUGCCAGCAGCCGCGGUAAUACGGAGGGUGCAAGCGUUAAUCGGAAUUACUGGGCGUAAAGCGCACGCAGGCGGUUUGUUAAGUCAGAUGUGAAAUCCCCGGGCUCAACCUGGGAACUGCAUUUGAAACUGGCAAGCUAGAGUCUCGUAGAGGGGGGUAGAAUUCCAGGUGUAGCGGUGAAAUGCGUAGAGAUCUGGAGGAAUACCGGUGGCGAAGGCGGCCCCCUGGANGAAGACUGACGCUCAGGUGCGAAAGCGUGGGGAGCAAACA